rnacentral:rRNA from 1 species
UGACUGCGUACCUUUUGUAUAAUGGGUCAGCGACUUAUAUUCUGUAGCAAGGUUAACCGAAUAGGGGAGCCGGAGGGAAACCGAGUCUUAAUUGGGCGUUAAGUUGCAGGGUAUAGACCCGAAACCCGGUGAUCUAGCCAUGGGCAGGUUGAAGGUUGGGUAACACUAACUGGAGGACCGAACCGACUAAUGUUGAAAAAUUAGCGGAUGACCUGUGGCUGGGGGUGAAAGGCCAAUCAAACCGGGAGAUAGCUGGUUCUCCCCGAAAGCUAUUUAGGUAGCGCCUCGUGAAUUCAUCUCCGGGGGUAGAGCACUGUUUCGGCUAGGGGGCCAUCCCGGCUUACCAACCCGAUGCAAACUGCGAAUACCGGAGAAUGUUAUCACGGGAGACACACGGCGGGUGCUAACGUCCGUCGUGAAGAGGGAAACAACCCAGACCGCCAGCUAAGGUCCCAAAGUCAUGGUUAAGUGGGAAACGAUGUGGGAAGGCCCAGACAGCCAGGAUGUUGGCUUAGAAGCAGCCAUCAUUUAAAGAAAGCGUAAUAGCUCACUGGUCGAGUCGGCCUGCGCGGAAGAUGUAACGGGGCUAAACCAUGCACCGAAGCUGCGGCAGCGACACUGUGUGUUGUUGGGUAGGGGAGCGUUCUGUAAGCCUGUGAAGGUGUGUCGUGAGGCAUGCUGGAGGUAUCAGAAGUGCGAAUGCUGACAUAAGUAACGAUAAAGCGGGUGAAAAGCCCGCUCGCCGGAAGACCAAGGGUUCCUGUCCAACGUUAAUCGGGGCAGGGUGAGUCGACCCCUAAGGCGAGGCCGAAAGGCGUAGUCGAUGGGAAACGGGUUAAUAUUCCCGUACUUGGUGUUACUGCGAAGGGGGGACGGAGAAGGCUAUGUUGGCCGGGCGACGGUUGUCCCGGUUUAAGUGUGUAGGUGUGUGUUCCAGGUAAAUCCGGUUCACUUUAACACUGAGGCGUGACGACGAGGCACUACGGUGCUGAAGCAACAAAUGCCCUGCUUCCAGGAAAAGCCUCUAAGCAUCAGGUAACAUCAAAUCGUACCCCAAACCGACACAGGUGGUCAGGUAGAGAAUACCAAGGCGCUUGAGAGAACUCGGGUGAAGGAACUAGGCAAAAUGGUGCCGUAACUUCGGGAGAAGGCACGCUGACACGUAGGUGAAGUGAUUUACUCAUGGAGCUGAAGUCAGUCGAAGAUACCAGCUGGCUGCAACUGUUUAUUAAAAACACAGCACUGUGCAAACACGAAAGUGGACGUAUACGGUGUGACGCCUGCCCGGUGCCGGAAGGUUAAUUGAUGGGGUCAGCGCAAGCGAAGCUCCUGAUCGAAGCCCCGGUAAACGGCGGCCGUAACUAUAACGGUCCUAAGGUAGCGAAAUUCCUUGUCGGGUAAGUUCCGACCUGCACGAAUGGCGUAAUGAUGGCCAGGCUGUCUCCACCCGAGACUCAGUGAAAUUGAACUCGCUGUGAAGAUGCAGUGUACCCGCGGCAAGACGGAAAGACCCCGUGAACCUUUACUAUAGCUUGACACUGAACAUUGAGCCUUGAUGUGUAGGAUAGGUGGGAGGCUUUGAAGUGUGGACGCCAGUCUGCAUGGAGCCGACCUUGAAAUACCACCCUUUAAUGUUUGAUGUUCUAACGUGGACCCGUUACCCGGGUUGCGGACAGUGUCUGGUGGGUAGUUUGACUGGGGCGGUCUCCUCCUAAAGAGUAACGGAGGAGCACGAAGGUUGGCUAAUCCUGGUCGGACAUCAGGAGGUUAGUGCAAUGGCAUAAGCCAGCUUGACUGCGAGCGUGACGGCGCGAGCAGGUGCGAAAGCAGGUCAUAGUGAUCCGGUGGUUCUGAAUGGAAGGGCCAUCGCUCAACGGAUAAAAGGUACUCCGGGGAUAACAGGCUGAUACCGCCCAAGAGUUCAUAUCGACGGCGGUGUUUGGCACCUCGAUGUCGGCUCAUCACAUCCUGGGGCUGAAGUAGGUCCCAAGGGUAUGGCUGUUCGCCAUUUAAAGUGGUACGCGAGCUGGGUUUAGAACGUCGUGAGACAGUUCGGUCCCUAUCUGCCGUGGGCGCUGGAGAACUGAGGGGGGCUGCUCCUAGUACGAGAGGACCGGAGUGGACGCAUCACUGGUGUUCGGGUUGUCAUGCCAAUGGCACUGCCCGGUAGCUAAAUGCGGAAGAGAUAAGUGCUGAAAGCAUCUAAGCACGAAACUUGCCCCGAGAUGAGUUCU